AUCACUUCUUGGCCUUUUGGCUAAGAUCAACUGUAAUAUCUGUUCUUAACAGUUUAUUCAUGGUUUGCAUCCCUAAACUAUACCUGAUCAGCAGCUUGCUCCAAAUUGACUCUUAUCAUGAUCAUGGUGAUCAUAUCAAUUAAAAGAAGCUUAAAAAAUUU
ensembl:snRNA U2 U2 spliceosomal RNA